rnacentral:rRNA from 1 species
GGCGGCUUGCCGUUAAACCCCUAUAUUUCUAGUGGUUGACCUCGGAUUAGGUAGGAAUACCCGCUGAACUUAAGCAUAUCAAUAAGCGGAGGAAAAGAAACCAACAGGGAUUGCCCUAGUAACGGCGAGUGAAGCGGCAACAGCUCAAAUUUGAAAUCUGGCCCUAGCGGUCCGAGUUGUAAUUUGUAGAGGAUGCUUUUGGUUAGGUGCCUUCUGAGUUCCCUGGAACGGGACGCCAGAGAGGGUGAGAGCCCCGUACGGUUGGACACCGAGCCUCUAUAUAGCUCCUUCGACGAGUCGAGUAGUUUGGGAAUGCUGCUCUAAAUGGGAGGUAAAUUUCUUCUAAAGCUAAAUACCGGCCAGAGACCGAUAGCGCACAAGUAGAGUGAUCGAAAGAUGAAAAGUACUUUGAAAAGAGGGUUAAAUAGCACGUGAAAUUGUUGAAAGGGAAGCGUUUGCGACCAGACUUUUUCCAGGCGGAUCAUCCGGUGUUCUCACCGGUGCACUUCGCCUGGUUUAGGCCAGCAUCGGUUCUCUUAGGGGGAUAAAGGCCUGGGGAACGUAGCUCCUUCGGGAGUGUUAUAGCCCCUAGCGUAAUACCCUUCGGGGGACCGAGGAACGCGCA